rnacentral:rRNA from 1 species
GAACUUUCCAGAGAUGGAUUGGUGCCUUCGGGAACUGUGAGACAGGUGCUGCAUGGCUGUCGUCAGCUCGUGUUGUGAAAUGUUGGGUUAAGUCCCGCAACGAGCGCAACCCUUAUCCUUUGUUGCCAGCGGUCCGGCCGGGAACUCAAAGGAGACUGCCAGUGAUAAACUGGAGGAAGGUGGGGAUGACGUCAAGUCAUCAUGGCCCUUACGACCAGGGCUACACACGUGCUACAAUGGCGCAUACAAAGAGAAGCGACCUCGCGAGAGCAAGCUGACCUCAUAAAGUGCGUCGUAGUCCGGAUUGGAGUCUGCAACUCGACUCCAUGAAGUCGGAAUCGCUAGUAAUCGUGGAUCAGAAUGCCACGGUGAAUACGUUCCCGGGCCUUGUACACACCGCCCGUCACACCAUGGGAGUGGGUUGCAAAAGAAGUAGGUAGCUUAACCUUCGGGAGGGCGCUUACCACUUUGUGAUUCAUGACUGGGGUGAAGUCGUAACAAGGUAACCGUAGGGGAACCUGCGGUUGGAUCACCUCCUUACCUUAAAGAGGC